rnacentral:rRNA from 1 species
AGAGUUUGAUCAUGGCUCAGGAUGAACGCUGGCGGCGUGCCUAACACAUGCAAGUCGAGCGAUUUACUUCGGUAAAGAGCGGCGGACGGGUGAGUAACGCGUGGGUAACCUGCCCUGUACACACGGAUAACAUACCGAAAGGUAUGCUAAUACGAGAUAAUAUGUUUUUAUCGCAUGGUAGAAGUAUCAAAGCUUUUGCGGUACAGGAUGGACCCGCGUCUGAUUAGCUAGUUGGUAAGGUAACGGCUUACCAAGGCUACGAUCAGUAGCCGACCUGAGAGGGUGAUCGGCCACAUUGGAACUGAGACACGGUCUAAACUCCUACGGGAGGCAGCAGUGGGGAAUAUUGCACAAUGGGCGAGAGCCUGAUGCAGCAACGCCGCGUGAGCGAUGAAGGCCUUCGGGUCGUAAAGCUCUGUCCUCAAGGAAGAUAAUGACGGUACUUGAGGAGGAAGCCCCGGCUAACUACGUGCCAGCAGCCGCGGUAAUACGUAGGGGGCUAGCGUUAUCCGGAAUUACUGGGCGUAAAGGGUGCGUAGGUGGUUUCUUAAGUCAGAGGUGAAAGGCUACGGCUCAACCGUAGUAAGCCUUUGAAACUGGGAAACUUGAGUGCAGGAGAGGAGAGUGGAAUUCCUAGUGUAGCGGUGAAAUGCGUAGAUAUUAGGAGGAACACCGGUUGCGAAGGCGGCUCUCUGGACUGUAACUGACACUGAGGCACGAAAGCGUGGGGAGCAAACAGGAUUAGAUACCCUGGUAGUCC